rnacentral:rRNA from 1 species
UACGCUGGCGGCGUGCCUAAUACAUGCAAGUCGAGCGGACAGAUGGGAGCUUGCUCCCUGAUGUUAGCGGCGGACGGGUGAGUAACACGUGGGUAACCUGCCUGUAAGACUGGGAAUAACUCCGGGAAACCGGGGCUAAUACCGGAUGGUUGUUUGAACCGCAUGGUUCAGACAUAAAAGGUGGCUUCGGCUACCACUUACAGAUGGACCCGCGGCGCAUUAGCUAGUUGGUGAGGUAACGGCUCACCAAGGCAACGAUGCGUAGCCGACCUGAGAGGGUGAUCGGCCACACUGGGACUGAGACACGGCCCAGACUCCUACGGGAGGCAGCAGUAGGGAAUCUUCCGCAAUGGACGAAAGUCUGACGGAGCAACGCCGCGUGAGUGAUGAAGGUUUUCGGAUCGUAAAGCUCUGUUGUUAGGGAAGAACAAGUGCCGUUCAAAUAGGGCGGCACCUUGACGGUACCUAACCAGAAAGCCACGGCUAACUACGUGCCAGCAGCCGCGGUAAUACGUAGGUGGCAAGCGUUGUCCGGAAUUAUUGGGCGUAAAGGGCUCGCA